UAUCUGGAACCUCUGCCUGAGGAUAAACAAAAAAAGCAGAAAAUUGCAAAUGACCUGUUGGAUCUUAGAAAUAAGGUGACUUUCGUCUUUUUCAUCUGCAAUGCUUUGUGGCUGGUAGCGACUUUCACUCUUCAGCUCAUUGGAAGCUCAGUCACCAUCAAAAUCCCAAAGUUAAAUAUAAAUCUGACUCAGACAAGCGAGUAUAUAUUCAUCGAUCCAAUAGGAUUGAUGUUCCUUUUGGGAUUCACAUCCUUACUGCUGAUCCAAUUCUUGGGCAUGUUCUACCACAGAGUUUACACUCUGAUCCACUUUGUGGCAUUUUCGAGCAUGGAAUCCAAGACCAGUGGCAGACCAUCGGACGAUAAUAUGACGAUUCCUGACAUGCUGCAGACUGAGGACAAGGAAUAUGCAGGCUCUGAAGGAUCUCUGACUAUAGAGAAUCCUGCAGUAAUUCACAUCUUAAGACGAGGAACUCUGUCUACAGAGAACCCAGAAAUACUUCAGGACUUUGAACAAUCAACUGUGUCUACAGAGAGUCAGGGGUUGAGACCAGGAACUCUAGUGUGAGGGUCAAGUGGCACAAAAGGACUGGUGUAUAUUUCUAUAGUUUAAAAUAUUUUUUCUCAUAGUCAUUACUUUGGACACUUUCUGCUGUCAUAACAUGUAAUCCCAAAAUGAACUAGUGUUAUAUAUUUUUAUUUAUGUAUUUUUAAAUAUUGUGGAAGCACGAUCAUCUUUUGGUUAACUUAGUCAGGGAUGUAAAAAACAUGGAUGGAGCAAAUAUCAGGUAUAAAGUCAGAGAAAAAUUAUCUCAACCCUCUAAACUCAAAAAGUCAUUUGUGUGUUAUUUCAACUGGACAACUAGUGUUUUUUUUGCCAUAAAUGCUUUGCAAGAGAUGUUGACCAUUCCUGAAUGGUUCAGGCUCUAAUGAUUUAAGGAAGGGUUUGAAUAAUGUUGUCCAUAAAAUACACACCACCAAAUGUAUUGACCUUGAACUCUUGACAAAAACACUGGAUAAAAGUUAGGCCUAUGAGAUGAAAUAGUCACAGCUGAUAACCACGCUUCCAACAGGUAUUGCCUGCGGGGUGUGAAAACACACACAUACAAUAAUUAAUCUAAAGUAAACUCAUUUCCAAGAAAUACAUAUUUGUUUAAUUUCGAAAAUGUGGAGUUAGAUGUAGGUGUGUGAUCAUUACAUUUGCAGGGAGAAAAAAUCAUGAAGACCCAGGGGAUGUGAAACCUUUGACUAGCCACAGUAUGGUUUGUUUUCUCUUUAUUUAUUAGUUUAAAUCAUAAGAUUUGCUUGAUGUAUUAUAACAGAGUAUUUAUUAUAUUUAUGCAUUCCGUAACCAGGAAAGAUCUUCUGUAAGGGCAGUGUCCACCUGACACAAACCUUAAGAAAAUAUUACAGCGUUCAAAUGUAAAGUAAAGCCAAUAAUUGUUGACUCUCAGGGUUUGUGAUAAUGUUAUAAAAUUUUUCUAUUUUAUAUUUGAUUAACUGUGGUAGCUUCUAAUUUUAAUUUCAACAUGUUUUCCCUUCUGUAAUCUCUGAUAGUAUGUAUUCUCAGAGGCUAGCCAUAGGUGGGCUACAGCCCAGACGUAUUGAAUACUAAC